GAUGAACGCUGGCGGCGUGCCUAAUACAUGCAAGUAGAACGCUGAAGGAAGGAGCUUGCUCUUUCCGGAUGAGUUGCGAACGGGUGAGUAACGCGUAGGUAACCUGCCUGGUAGCGGGGGAUAACUAUUGGAAACGAUAGCUAAUACCGCAUAACAGUAGAUGUUGCAUGAUAUCUACUUAAAAGGUGCAAUUGCACCACUACCAGAUGGACCUGCGUUGUAUUAGCUAGUUGGUGAGGUAACGGCUCACCAAGGCGACGAUACAUAGCCGACCUGAGAGGGUGAUCGGCCACACUGGGACUGAGACACGGCCCAGACUCCUACGGGAGGCAGCAGUAGGGAACCUUCGGCAAUGGACGGAAGUCUGACCGAGCAACGCCGCGUGAGUGAAGAAGGUUUUCGGAUCGUAAAGCUCUGUUGUAAGAGAAGAACGAGUGUGAGAGUGGAAAGUUCACACUGUGACGGUAUCUUACCAGAAAGGGACGGCUAACUACGUG
rnacentral:rRNA from 1 species